AUGACUUUAACUACACUUCCGUCACAAGCGGUCUUCCAACAUUUGACAAAGCUGGACUUUUUGUUCAUCAGAUAUUGCUGGUGUUUCAAGUCAUUAGGAGGCUUACGAUCUGCUACCUCUCUUUCAGAAGUUAGAUUGAUUUCCUGCCCUUCUUUAGAUUUGACACAUGGAGCAGGUUUAUUGCCGUCGUCUCUUGAGGAGCUCUGUAUAUACCAGUGCAUGGUUGCAGAUAAUUUCUUCAGUAGUGACUUGCCGCACCUGAAAAGUCUUAGCAUGUUUGGCUGUAGAAGCUCCACUUCCUUGUCUAUCGGUCAUCUGACUUCCCUUGUAUCCUUAUCAGUGGGAGGUUUCCCUGAUCUGUGCUUUCUUGAAGGCUUGCCAUUCUUGCAACUUCACCACGUACAUUUGACAGAUGUCCCGAAGCUCGUUGCGAACUGCAUUUCACAGUUUCGGGUGCAGCAAUCACUCUAUGUUAGCAGCCUCGUGAUGCUCAACCACAUGCUCUGGGAUGAAGGUUUUACAGUUCCACAAUUUCUGUCUCUCGAAGGAUGCAAGGAAUCAUCCGUUUCAUUUGAAGAAUCUGCAAAAUUCACAUCCGUCAAGUGCCUUAGAUUAUGUCGGUGUGAAAUGAGGUCCCUACCAGGAAAUCUGAAGUGCUUCUCUAGUCUGAGGACACUCGAUAUCUAUGACUGCCCCAACAUAUCAUCUUUAUCAGAUCUGCCAUCCUCCAUCCAACAUAUAUGUGUUUGGCGUUGUGAACGCUUGAACGAGAGCUGCCAAGCGCCUGACGGAGAAAGCUGGCCAAAGAUUGCGCAUAUCCGCUGGAAGGAUUUCAGAUGA
rnacentral:rRNA from 1 species